GAUGAACGCUGAAAGAAUGCUUAACACAUGCAAGUCAACUUGAACUUCGGUUUGGGUGGCGGACGGGUGAGUAACGCGUAAAGAACUUGCCUCACAGUUAGGGACAACAUUUGGAAACGAAUGCUAAUACCUGAUAUUAUGAUUUUAGGGCAUCCUAGAAUUAUGAAAGCUAUAUGCGCUGUGAGAGAGCUUUGCGUCCCAUUAGCUAGUUGGAGAGGUAACGGCUCACCAAGGCGAUGAUGGGUAGCCGGCCUGAGAGGGUGAACGGCCACAAGGGGACUGAGACACGGCCCUUACUCCUACGGGAGGCAGCAGUGGGGAAUAUUGGACAAUGGACCAAGAGUCUGAUCCAGCAAUUCUGUGUGCACGAUGAAGUUUUUCGGAAUGUAAAGUGCUUUCAGUUGGGAAGAAAAAAAUGACGAUACCAACAGAAGAAGUGACGGCUAAAUACGUG
rnacentral:rRNA from 1 species